rnacentral:rRNA from 1 species
AAAAAAAUAUGAAAUUUAGGUAGUACUGGAUGGCUUAAAACUUAAAAAUUUUGGCGGUGUUCUAAUCUUAUCAGAGGAAUCUGUUUUUUAAUCGACAAUACACGACAUAUCUUACUUAAAUUAAUGUUUGUAUAUCGUUGUGAUAAUAAUAUUUUAUAAUUAUUGUUGGGGGUAAUUUUAUUUUUAAUAUCAGAUCAAGGUUCAGCUUAUGAUUAAGGAAGGAAUGGAUUACAAUAUAGACAUAUAUUUACGGAAUUUGUUUUUAAAAGAUAAAUGAAGGCGGAUUUGAAAGUAUUUUUAUAGUAUUAUGUUAAAUUGAAUGAGCUCUAGAACAUGC